rnacentral:lncRNA from 1 species
AUGCCAUGCAGAGACCCUUACAAGCUUCACGGGUUGGCCUGUGAAAAACUCAUGAACUUCAAAAAGGCCAAGUGCAAGGUCCGUCAUCUGCUCUGGGGCAAUCCGAAGCACACAUACAGGCUGGGCAGAGAAUGGAUUGAGAGCAGCCCUGAGGAGAAGGACUUGAGGGUGCGGGUGGACAAGAAGCUUGACACGAGCUGGCAAUGUGCUUUUCAGCCCAGAAAGCCAACCGCAUGUUGGUCUACCUUAAAAGCAGUGUGGCCAGCAGGGCGUGGGAGGAGCCACCAGCGUCCCGUGCUGUGCAGACACUCAGCACGAGGUCGUCUGGGCACAGAGCUGCCUGGCCCAACCAGGCUGCAGCUGUCCCAUGCCUCAGCUCUGCCGCAGGGAAACCCCUGGGGCAGGGAAACCUGGGCCUGCGGCGUGGGCGCUCAGGGCCAGGCCUCGUGCCCUGCUGCCGUGCCCCACCGCCUGGCACUCUCAGCGCUGUGCCAGCCCUCUUCCUCCCUCCCUGUCCCGCGGCACUCCUACGCACUUGGCAGCCCUUUGUCAGGCUGGGAGUGGGCCUUUCCCUCCUGCUCCUUGGGCAUCUCUCUGUCCUCUCAUGGAGACAAAGAUACAGGCACCCAGGGCAGCUGCUGCCUCCUGACGGCGCUGCGCUCCUGGGAGUGGGCACCACGGGGGCUCGGGCCCCACAAGGCACACCGCUACCAUGGGGACACCCCCCCCGUCACAGUGGCCUUGCGGCCCUGCGCCACCCAGUGUCAGUACCCAUAUGCAUCCAAGUUGAUGUUGACCAGGCCUUGCAAUAUCGAUGGUAUUCCCUGGGCAUUUGUGGAGGAGUCAGGCACGGCAGCAGGCAAGGGAGAAGGAAACGAGCAAGAGGACACAGCCAAGGGAGUGAUGUGCUGGGGAAGAAGAGAAGCUGCCCAUGCACAGCAUCACAGAAUCCAUCAACUUAAGCUGGUUGUGAAACUCCACUGUAAAGAGAUCCAGUCCAGGGCCACUGUCACCUUCUCUACUCUCAUCCAUCCCUGCUGCUAG